rnacentral:rRNA from 1 species
UACGAAGGGCGCAAGCGUUGUUCGGAAUUACUGGGCGUAAAGGGCGCGUAGGCGGCUUAUCAAGUCAGGCGUGAAAUUCCCGGGCUCAACCUGGGGGCUGCGCUUGAUACUGAUGAGCUUGAAUGCGGGAGAGGAUAGUGGAAUUCCCAGUGUAGAGGUGAAAUUCGUAGAUAUUGGGAAGAACACCGGUGGCGAAGGCGUCUAUCUGGCCCGUAAUUGACGCUGAGUCGCGAAAGCGUGGGGAGCAAACAGG